GGGCGCAUAGCUCAGUGGGAGAGCACUGCCUUCACACGGCAGGGGUCGCAGGUUCAAACCCUGCUGCGCCCACCA
rnacentral:tRNA from 1 species